AUGUUAAUGUGUGUAAAUUCCAUAUUUCAAAAAAAUAUUUUUGAAUUUCGCGCUCUGCCUUUUCCGCGGAAUAUAUUGUCGAGGGGUUCCGCUAGAAAGGUUCAUCCCCGUUGGGCCUUUUCUCAAAACUUUUACCCUGUUGGGUCUUUUCUCACUCCUUUAAUUCCUGUUGGACCUUUAAUCACUCCUUUAAUCCCUAGUGGACCUUUUCUCACUCUUUUAAUCCUUAGGCGACCUUUUCUCACUCCUUUAAUCCCUAGGCAACCUUUUCUCACUAAUGUAAUCCCUGUUGGCUCUAUUCUCACUCCUUUAAUCACUGUUGGGUCUUUUCUCACUCCUUCAAUCCCCAUUGGUCAUUUUAUCAUUACUUUAAUCCCUAUUGGGUCUUUUCUCACUACUUUAAUCCGUAUUGGUCCUUUUCUCAAUCUUGUAAUCCCUAUUGGGUCUUUUCUCACUCCUUUAAUUCCUGUUGGACCUUUACUCACUCCUUUAAUCCCUAGUGGACCUUUUCUCACUCUUUUAAUCCUUAGGCAACCUUUUCUCACUCCUUUAAUCCCUAGGCGACCUUUUCUCACUAAUGUAAUCCCUGUUGGGUCUAUUCUCACUCCUUUAAUCACUGUUGGGUCUUUUCUCACUCCUUUAAUUCCUGUUGGACCUUUACUCACUCCUUUAAUCCCUAUUGUGCAUUUUCUCACUCCUUUAAUCCCAAGUGGACCUUUUCUCACUCCUUUAAUUGCUGACGCCCCUUUCUCACUCCUUUAAUCACUAUUGGGCCUUUUCUCACUCUUUUAAUCCCCAUUGGGCAUUUUCUCACUCCUUUAAUCGCUUUGGGCCUUUUCUCACUCCUUUAAUCUCAAGUGGACCUUAUCUCACACCUUUAAUCCCAAGUGGACCUUUUCUCACUCCUUUAACCCCUAAUGGGUAUUUGCUCACUUCUUUAAUCCCUAUUGGGCCUUUUCUCACUCCUUUAAUCCCAAGUGGACCUUUUCUCACUCCUUUAAUCGCUUUGGGCCUUUUCUCACUCCUUUAAUCACUAUUGGGUAUUUUCUCACUCCUUCAAUCUCAAGUGGACUUUAUCUCACACCUUUAAUCCCAAGUGGACCUUUCCUCACUCCUUUUACCCCUAUUGGGUAUUUUCUCACUCCUUUAAUCUCAAGUGGACCUUAUCUCACACGUUUAUCCCAAAUUGACCUUUCCUCACUCCUUUAAUUGCUUGUAAUCUCUAUUGGGUCUUUUCUCACUCCUUUAAUUCCUGUUGGACCUUUACUCACUCCUUUAAUCCCUAUUGGGCAUUUUCUCACUCCUUUAAUCCCAAGUGGACCUUUUCUCACUCCUUUAAUUGCUUACGCCCCUUUCUCACUCCUUUAAUCACUAUUGGGCCUUUUCUCACUCUUUUAAUCCCUAUUGGGCAUUUUCUCACUCCUUUAAUCACUAGUGGACCUUUCCUCACUCCUUUAAUCACUAUUGGGCCUUUUCUCACUCCUUUAAUCCCAAGUGGACCUUUUCUCA
rnacentral:lncRNA from 13 species